rnacentral:lncRNA from 1 species
GGGACGAAGUGGGAUCGUCCCGUCCCGUCCCACUUCGUCCCUCGAACCAAACGCACCCUUAGGCUGUCCGCACCGGGGACCGCUACACCAUCGUCCAGUAUCGCGGUAGCGGAAAAAACCCCGCACCGCGGUACUGGUUGGCGUCCGCUACGCAAGCGGACGGCCCCCGGUCCGCUACUCCUAGCGGACGUGCAGGCCUCCCGCCACCCGCUGCCAGCGCCAACGAACACCCGCUCGCGC